GAUCCCUGUCCCCUCCAUGCUUGGGCACUGGUGGUAGAUUGGAACAGUGAGUAGAGCCCUUGGCUUAGAUGCAAAAGAUCCAGUUCCAGCAUCAGUUUUAAGUGUUUGUCAGCCAUGUGACAUUGGUCAAGUCACUUCCCCUCUCUGAAACUUGUCUCAAAUAGGGAUAAUCUCUGCCCACUUGACUUGCCUCCUCCCCCAAAGAUUCAGGCAUCAGUAUUAUAGCCUCACCUUGGAGGGGACAUGUGGCUGCUGGAACAGAACCUCUGCUUCCAAUCCACUGCUGUGUAACUUGGGCAGCUCCUCCAGCGCCAGGCUGCCCUCAUUCACCAGCGCCUCCAGCAUCUCCAGGACGCGGACGACUUUGAACUGCAGCUGCGUCACCCGGGGGUCGCUGCCCAGGGCCAUAAGCUCGCGGCCCAACAGGUAGGAGAUGUCAUACACGUCCUCGGCGGUCAGCUGGAAGGGGCUCUUGCCCAACGCCCCCUCGGGCCCAACCUCGUCCCUCUCCUCGUCCUCCUCUCCCUCCUCCUCUUCCUCUUCUCGCACAGGGGGCUCCUCCAUGGCCACCCAGACCCCCGCCGACCUCGGAGCUGCUGUCUUGGAGUCUCCCAAAGCCGUAGAAUUUGCAUCGUAGGUGAUGGAAGAUCCGGGUGUCUCUUUGAGGGUGUUUUCUGGAGCCUGCGGCCAAACAGAAAGCAGCUGCUGGGGGCAGCGCGACAGAGUCCCCGAGGCUUGAGGAUCUGGAAAACUCCCAGGCAAAUUGUCACUAGGGUCUGUGGCGUCCGACUUCGCUGUGACUCUCAAUAAAAUGGAGAAUGUCUGCCCUG
rnacentral:lncRNA from 1 species